rnacentral:hammerhead_ribozyme from 1 species
AGCCGAAACAGCGGACGAGUUCCGCUGUCUGCCGGAGAUGGUCUACCGGCACUGAUGAGGCAGACCAAA